rnacentral:lncRNA from 1 species
CUUGCGGACUCGCCCCCUUAUUUUGGUCUGUGCCCACCUCUGCUUGGCUUCACAUGUUUUGGUCAAAUCUGAGAAAAAAAUAACCUAAGGAAGUGUAUUAUGGCGCAGAACAGGAAGCGGGGCGCGGUCGAUCCGACAGUUUCUUCGAUUCCCAAGGCUACCGUUGACUCCAUUAUUAUUCACCAGGGAGUGGUAAAAUGUGUCUUCCAUUCAAACUGUUGAUGGGUGAUGACACGGACCUAGGAAUCUUUAUGAAGGUUUGGUUUAUUAUUCACUUUUAAGUGUAAGAAAACAAUAUUAUAUAGUCUUUCUCCCUCUCCCUCCCCCACGCUCCCUGCCUCUCUCUUUUUCCCUGUGCAACCAUAAAGGUAUUUUAAGCACAGUUGAAAUGUUCAGUCGAUUUCUUUUUCUUCUAACCUUGCAGCUUUCGCAGUUUUUAUAUCCUAGCAUGAACUUAGGAUAAUUUAUUUCAUAGACUUUUCUAUAUUGACAGAAACUUUGUCUCAUGAAGACAUAGCUAGUAUCCAAAGGAUUUUUUUUCCCCUUAAGAUUGUAAACUUAUGAGUAUAAACCAUUUAGGUGAAGAAUUAAAUAAAACCCACAUGAUAAAGUUGAUUUACAGCACAAAAAGAAUUCAGUAGGUGUUCCUAACUAUUUACCCGGACAUUUUCUUACUGUAUGCAAAUGGAAAAACACCUUCAAAAGCUCUUGUCUAGGUUUCUCUUGCCAGUGGCAUCUUACAG